UUUAUUUCAUUCUUGUUUAUUUAAUGUGAUUACAAAUAUAUUGGAAUAACACCUGCAUUUAUUACUUUUGUGGUUAUUUUUCCUUUGUGUGAUAGCUAUCGACAUUCUGCAGCUACAUAUUAGGUGCUUACGUGGCAUUUAUGUUAAAAACAUGUCGUUUUAUGGUUCAAGGGAACAGAUUGCUAAAAAAUGUAUUAAUUUUGAAAAAUGUCGCUGCUUCAAUUUGGAUUGCGGUUCUGUACACACAUAUUUAUAUUGUUACAAAUACCAGAACAACACAUGCAGCAACAAGUAGUGUCCAUAUCUUCAUUGCACUAUUCUAGAACAGUACCGCUACACAUUAACAGGGAAAGCAACACAGAAUAUGAAGAAAGAAGUCGGACGGACUUUGCAAAAUACAAAUAUAUGUGGCGAUAACAAAAAGAAUGCAUGUAAACGAAAAUAUUGUUAUCUACAACAUGUCAAAAUAGAUGACAAUAAUUUGAACUGUCCUAUAUGCCGAGAAGAUAUAACUUUAGAAUCUUUUAGUGCUACAACUUGUGGCCAUAUGAUUUGUCAUAAUUGUAUAUGUAGAUGCAUCAGUAAUACCGAUGAAUUUACAAUACAAUGCCCAAUGUGCAGGUCUAAAUGUAAAUAUAAAAAAUUUAUGUAAUCUUUUUCCAUUAUGUAGUCUUUUACCAUUUAUAGCGCAAACAGUGAUUGUCAUCAAUAAAGUGUUUAUUUCAUCAAUUCUUAGCGAUAUAUUAAGCAAAAAUAGUAAGUUUUACAUAAAAUAUUAAGGUAGAGAUAGUGCUUUUCAAUAAGAGCCAGAUAACACAGUGACAGCAAAGUAAACUAUUAUAUCUUUAUUAUUUGUCAAUAUUAAUCAUAGAUGAAGUGAUUUAUUGUGUUACACUGUAUUGUCCAUGUCUCAGGUAUCCAUUGAUCACAAUUGAAUUUUUUCUGUAUA